AUUGAACGCUGGCGGCAUGCUUUACACAUGCAAGUCGAACGGUAACAGGCCGCAAGGUGCUGACGAGUGGCGAACGGGUGAGUAAUACAUCGGAACGUACCCAGGAGUGGGGAUAACGUAGCGAAAGUUACGCUAAUACCGCAUAUUCUGUGAGCAGGAAAGCGGGGGAUCGCAAGACCUCGCGCUCUUGGAGCGGCCGAUGUCGGAUUAGCUAGUUGGUGAGGUAAAAACUCACCAAGGCGACGAUCCGUAGCAGGUCUGAGAGGAUGAUCUGCCACACUGGGACUGAGACACGGCCCAGACUCCUACGGGAGGCAGCAGUGGGGAAUUUUGGACAAUGGGCGCAAGCCUGAUCCAGCAAUGCCGCGUGCAGGAAGAAGGCCUUCGGGUUGUAAACUGCUUUUGUACGGAACGAAACGGCUCUGGUUAAUACCUGGGGCUAAUGACGGUACCGUAAGAAUAAGCACCGGCUAACUACGUGCCAGCCGCCGCCGUAAUAC
rnacentral:rRNA from 1 species